UACGAAGGGGGCUAGCGUUGCUCGGAAUUACUGGGCGUAAAGGGUGUGUAGGCGGAUACUUAAGUCGGGGGUGAAAGCCCAGGGCUCAACCCUGGAAUAGCCUUCGAUACUGGGUAUCUUGAGUUCGGGAGAGGUAAGUGGAACUCCGAGUGUAGAGGUGAAAUUCGUAGAUAUUCGGAAGAACACCAGUGGCGAAGGCGACUUACUGGCCCGAGUACUGACGCUGAAACACGAAAGCGUGGGGAGCAAACAGG
rnacentral:rRNA from 1 species